AAUCUGUUCUGUGGGGCACUCAGGAGAGAAAAGUAGCAAUUUAUCGAACACCUGCAGGAACAAUCAGCAUUUCAUAAAAGCAAUUUCAGAAAAACAUAUCUGGAUUAAAUUAAUGGCAGGCUGUUCAUCUUUUUGAUCAACUGUCCAUUUCAAGCACUGACAAAAUGCAGAAAAAAGAAAGGAACCUGUCAUACGUGGGGUUUGAGAGAUUGCUUUCCUCCUGGGAUUUUGUUCUUUAUGAUGGGAGAUGCUACUAUGAACUAAUUGCCUCUAGGGGCAAUGAGCAACUUCCUCUCGAGCCUGGUACUGCUCUUCAUAAAUAUAUUAAGAUAAGCAUCCAGCUCAGUACAGUUCCCACCGGCUCUGCUAAAAGACUGCUAAUGACAUUCUCUGCCCCCCACAGUAUGCUAUCUAGAGCCUACCCACACACACAGUAUACCAACCAAACCUGCCCUUAAUAAAUGUAGUGCAAAGUCA